AUUGAACGCUGGCGGCAGGCCUAACACAUGCAAGUCGAACGAGUGGCGGACGGGUGAGUAAUGUCUGGGAAACUGCCUGAUGGAGGGGGAUAACUACUGGAAACGGUAGCUAAUACCGCAUACCAUCAGAUGUGCCCAGAUGGGAUUAGCUAGUUGGUGGGGUAACGGCUCACCAGGGCGACGAUCCCUAGCUGGUCUGAGAGGAUGACCAGCCAAACGGGAACUGAGACACGGGCCGGAUUCCUACGGAAGGAAGCAGUGGGGAAUAUUGGACAAUGGGCGCAGGCCUGAUGCAGCAAUGCCGCGUGUAGGAAGAAGGCUUUCGGGUGUAAAAGUACUUUCAUCGGGGAGGCGUUACCCGCAUAAGAAGCACCGGCUAACUCCGUGCCAGCAGCCGCGGUAAUAC
rnacentral:rRNA from 1 species